UACGAAGGGGGCUAGCGUUGUUCGGAAUUACUGGGCGUAAAGCGCACGUAGGCGGAUAUUUAAGUCAGGGGUGAAAUCCCGGGGCUCAACCCCGGAACUGCCUUUGAUACUGGAUAUCUUGAGUUCGGAAGAGGUAAGUGGAAUUGCGAGUGUAGAGGUGAAAUUCGUAGAUAUUCGCAGGAACACCAGUGGCGAAGGCGGCUUACUGGUCCGAUACUGACGCUGAGGUGCGAAGGCGUGGGGAGCAAACAGG
rnacentral:rRNA from 1 species